AACGAACGCUGGCGGCAUGCCUAACACAUGCAAGUCGAACGAGACCUUCGGGUCUAUUGGCGCACGGGUGCGUAACGCGUGGGAACCUGCCCUUAGGUUCGGAAUAACUCCCCGAAAGGGGUGCUAAUACCGGAUAAUGUCUUCGGACCAAAGAUUUAUCGCCUUUGGAUGGGCCCGCGUUGGAUUAGCUAGUUGGUAGGGUAAAAGCCUACCAAGGCGACGAUCCAUAGCUGGUCUGAGAGGAAGAUCAGCCACACUGGGACUGAGACACGGCCCAGACUCCUACGGGAGGCAGCAGUGGGGAAUAUUGGACAAUGGGCGAAAGCCUGAUCCAGCAAUGCCGCGUGAGUGAUGAAGGCCUUAGGGUUGUAAAGCUCUUUUACCCGGGAUGAUAAUGACAGUACCGGGAGAAUAAGCUCCGGCUAACUCCGUG
rnacentral:rRNA from 1 species